GGUUCGCAGCCCACCUCCGGUGCCCCCUUCCCGCUGGGAGCCCCCUGCCCCACUGCGGCACCCCAGGGGGCGCAUCCUGCCCGGGUCCCCCCAUGGGGCUGAGCCCUCGGCCAAUCGCGCUCUGCCAGCUGUGUUCUUGGCCAAUCCCCUGCUGCCACCUCGCUCUGCUCCCAGCCAAUCCUCUGCUGCCACCUAGCUUUCCUUCCAGCCAAUCCCCUGCAACCACCCCGUCUUCCCAGCCAAUCCCGUGCCGCCCCAUCCCAGGGUAUAUAAACCCAAGUGGUCCAUUUUGGGGGGAAAAAUGGUGGUUUUGGGUCAAUGGGGGCGCCUCAAAACCACCCCGUAUGUGAUCCAUAGGGUUGCCUGCGCCCCACAGGACCUCUCCCCUCCAUCCCUGCCUGCCACGGCCCCAACACCGCCGAACUCGUUAGGGCCUGGCGCUAAUUACCCUUCAGACCCGUGUGAGCCCCGGGGUCUCUCAUUAACCCCUGCCCAACGCCCCCCCCCCUCUGCCAACGAAGCCACAAUUAACACAAAGCUCGUUUACGUGCUCCAGUUCCUCCGCGUGUUUAUUUAUUGGCCUUUUAUUGCGACGGGUAUUUGCAUGGAAACUGUUUCCUGCUGUUCCCCUUCCCGCUCCCAGCCAUCAUCCGCGGGUCGGGAUCUUGCGGUUUCCACGGCAACGCGUUGAGAUGCCACAGAGGGACCGCGCUGCCUUCAGACAGGUUCAUGCAUCUUCAGGAAAAACCCUUCGUAUUUCCAUCUGAGGGCUCCAGGAGGUGUAACUCCUCGGUGGAGGCCGGGCUCUCCUGUGUCCUCCCUGGUGGCUGCAGCAUCGCCGGGUCUCCGCUGUCCUCGUGGGACCCUUGGUGUGGUGCCACCAGGUCAAUUUGUCCCUUUGAUGUGGGAGAUGACAAGAUGAGAGGUGUCUUGGCGAGGUCUGCUUGCUUGGCCUCCCUUGACAGCUCACAGAGAUGCCCCUCUGGGGUCCCAAAACCUUGAUGUGCUGAUGAUUUCAAGGGGAUGCCGUGAAGUUCCUGUCUCCCUUUUCAGCAUAAAAAUUGCCCUGUGAAGGGCAGGAUGCGUUGCAUCAGAUGGAGACCCCAAACCUCAUUUUUCCCAAAUUUCAUGCGCUUGGGGAGAGCAGAGGAGACCCCGAGGGCUCCUCGCCCCCUAGCAGGGGUGCAGCAUUCAUGGACGGCUGGCGGCCCCACAAGGCAGGACGCUUUAGGACGUCUCCAGACACCGGGUGGGUUGGCAGUGGUGAAAUCCAAACCACACACGAGCAAACUCUCCCUCUAGACCUUGCCCAAGUGGGUGCCGAAGACGGCAGAGAACCCUGGGUGAUUGCAGGUGUCGCUCCUGCACCACAAGCCUGUGCGCUGGCUGUGUCUCAGCUCAUUUUCGGAUCACAUUUUGCACAAAGCCUCGGCUUUCCCUUUGCCAGGACCAGCCCUUGGUACCUCUGUGCCGUCCUUUGUUGUGUUUUUAUUUUUAUUCCUUCACCAGUCUAUAAAAUGGCAGUAAUAGGUGCUGCAAAUCAAGGGCGUCUGGAUGCUGAGCGUGCUGCCGCUCGCCGAUGGGCUCUUUGUGACCCCGGUGCAGCAAUGCUGAUUUUUAUUUAUAUAUUUAUUUAUUUAUUUUUCACGGGAAAGAGCUUGAAAAAGAAAUUUCCGUGGAAAACUACACCACGACUUCCUGCAACAAAGGAUGGAGCUAUUAAUGAAAAAAAAAAAUAAUAAUAAUAAUAAAAAAAGCAAACAAACAAAAAACACCCAAAGACGACAACAACAAAAAAAAACCCCACACACAUAAAACCACCAAAAACCUGCUGACUGCAGCCAGGAUACAUCUUCGCAGUAUAUUACUGCUUAUUGGAAUAUUCCCUGCAUCCACUUUACCAUAUGUUUGUCCUCCCUCAUUUUCAGUUGUGCUGCUUUGUUAAAUUACACGUUUCAAACCAGCUAAAGGAGGAACGAGGAGGGGGAGAGGCUGGAAACACACCGGGGGCUUUUCCUUUUUGCAAAACCCUCUUGAAAAACGAGGCAUGGCGCUACGCGGGCGGCCAGAUCCGACUCGAGUUUCCUUUCCAAUUAGGUUUCGAAGGGAAAAGACCCGGGUGCAGUGCAUGCAUCUUCCAUUUUUGAUUCCCCGUGUAAGUCACAGUGGAACAAUCGGCUGCUCUGUUCAUGCUACUCUCUAUUCAUACGGUAAUUAGGAAGCUAGGAAUGACAGCCCGUUUAAUGACGGCUGUAAUAUGUACCUGCAUCUCGCACAACAGCUGGUGCACUGGAGAAAAUGCAGCCAUGUUUCUUUGAGAUGGGCUAAUAGGAAAAUCUUGAGCUAACAAGGAAAUAAAUCUCCCCAAGGCUAAACUUCGCAGAAAAUGGUUUCGUGUGCAGAGAAAGGAAUUUUAAACGAGUUGGGCCAAAUCCAUCCCGGCUGGAGCUGAAGCGGUGAUGCUGCGGGUGCCUUCAGCCUGCUGCGGGGCUCAGGACCUGCACCCCGUUGGCGCCGGCUGUUUCUGCAGGUGUAAAUCAGGGCCGACGUGUCCCGAGCUGUGGGGUUUGCAGCAGGCUGUAAAAGGGGUCCUGUGCCGGGGGCAGGUGAUGAACCUCCCUGUUUAUUGCAGGGGAUGAAGCAUCAGAGGGGCUGAAGGUGCCGAUGGCACGUUGUGUUGGCUCUGGGCUCUGGUUUUCCAGGCUCCUGGAGGCAAAGGAGCCGUGGAUGGGGUGAAGGCUGGAAAAGAGACCUUCCCGUGGCCCCAGGUCUCAUGGGAACCAUUUGGAGGAAGAGCUGUAGGAAAAUCAGUGCCAUCGCUGGGUCACCGUGCUCACUGUCUUCAUGUGCUUCAAAUCUAAUUUCCAAUGGGAUGUGAUUUCCUAUUUCCUGGGGGCAUCUUCCCAAGGAGCAGCCACCUUCCCAGCGUCUCCUUUCCCUUCCAGAUCCCUCCAGCACCAAAGGUCUUCUGCUUUGCUCCCAUUGACCCACCAGCCCUGGUUGCCCUCAUCUUUUCCUUGCGUCUCCUUGGGUGCUGGCAGCGGGAAGAAAGAAGAGAAGAGGCUGAGAUGUCCCAGCGUCCAGCAAUCACCAAAAAGCCCUUUCCACCCCAUUUGGCCUCAAGGCCAGGGCAGGUUGCACCACGCGUGAAGACCUCCCCGUGCAGAGCAUCCCCUCCAAGGCAGAGCACCCCAAAUGGCACCCGUCAGCCAGACCUUUCGGUGACCAACUCCAGAGCAAGCUGAGCCCGCUAAAGCCGCUUGUCCACCGCGUGGUUCGCAGCCAGGGCUGGAUGCAGGGGGCAGGAUGGGACCCGCUCUGCCAUGAAUUACAGCCGAGGACGUGCGGUGCCUCUCGCCGAUGAUUUGCAGCGCGGCCCGGCCCCGCUCGCUGCGUGCCUCCUCCAAAUGGAUCCGUCUGAACCGGCUCAAGUUCUCCCCAGCACUAAUUGAUUUCUGCUUCCCGCCGGCUCCCUUCCAGCCCCCCGCCAGCCCCCAGCCCUCGGGAACCCGCAGACAAAGCCCCAGGCUCUCAGUUUCCUGUAGUCAACCUCCAACCAUCUGAUCAAGUGUCUAAAAAUCUGCGGAUUCCUCGUUUUUUUUUUUCUUUUCCCUUCCCCUUUCUCAGGCAUCCCGGGGGAAGUUCCCAGACCCCGUUCCUCAUCGCUUCCAGCCAUCUGCUCCGACCCACGGCGAGCAAAGUCGCCCUUCCUCCCCAGCUCCCCUUCAAGACCGCGCUAAUCCAUCCCGCUUGGGUCGCACAUGGCUUUUGCAAGGGACGUGGGAAACGGCUCCUCGGCAGGAGAAGACCUCAAAGGCAAGAGGAGAAAGCGGAGAGCUUUCCCAUCGGCAGAGCUCAGCAUCUCGGGGGGGCAGCCCCCGGCCGUUAUCAGCCCGUAAAGAGGAAUCCUGCAAACAACCCCUCGGUGCCCUUCCUCGCUGUCCCUCCUCGGGCUGUAAUUUCAGUGCUCCGAGGGGGUGCGCGGCCCUUCCCGGAACCGCCGGCGCUCCGCACGCUGUGAAUAAUAUCCCGCUUUUUCCAUCUGGGGCGAGAUUUACGAGCCGGCAGCUCCGUUCAGAUCUAGGUCUGAUUUCGACGGUCGAUGCUGGAAUGUGAUAUUUUCCUAAAUGUCCCUGUAGUGCCAUGAAAUCCAGUUAUAAAGAAAACAAGGACAUGUUUUAACAAUAAAACCAAUGUGCAUGAUCUAAUUAAAUGGCAUAAUAAAAUUAGGAAAUAAAUGCACAAAGCAUGAAAACCUGUUCCUUGAAAAGUGAAUCAAAUUGGCUACUAAAAUCAGCGUUUAUUCCUCGU